rnacentral:rRNA from 1 species
GUCCACGCUGUAAACGAUGUGAGUUUGUCGCUGGGGGGUUCACCCUUCGGUGACGGAGCUAACGCGUUAAACUCACCGCCUGGGAAGUACGGCCGCAAGGUUAAAACUCAAAGGAAUUGACGGGGACCAGCACAAGCGGUGGAGUAUGUGGUUUAAUUCGUCGCAACGCGAAGAACCUUACCAGGCCUUGACAUACCGAUUUUGAAAAGCAGAGAUGCAUUUCUUAAGUUCGGCUGGAUCGGAUACAGGUGCUGCAUGGCUGUCGU